rnacentral:rRNA from 1 species
UACGGGGGGGGGCAAGCGUUGUUCGGAAUUACUGGGCGUAAAGGGCUCGUAGGUGGCCAACUAAGUCAGACGUGAAAUCCCUCAGCUUAACUGGGGAACUGCGUCUGAUACUGGAUGGCUUGAGUUUGGGAGAGGGAUGCGGAAUUCCAGGUGUAGCGGUGAAAUGCGUAGAUAUCUGGAGGAACACCGGUGGCGAAGGCGGGUCUCUGGGCCGUAACUGACGCUGAGGAGCGAAAGCAUGGGGAGCGAACAGG